GAAAUACUCCCUCCGUCCCAAAAUAAGUGACUCAAAAGUGACUCUAAUUUACAUUAACUUUAGUACAAAACUGAGUUAUUUUUGAGUCACUUAUUUUGGGACGGAGGAAGUACUUU
rfam:Hordeum vulgare subsp. vulgare, WGS project CAJW01000000 data, contig: morex_contig_54924